AGCUAAGUGCAUUUUCUCAGCAGAAGGAAGAUCUUACACAUCACCUAGUGAAUAUCCAGUUGGGAAUCUGAAAGCAGCAGUGGGCAGGCAGGGGAAUCAGGAGCAAUGUUCAUCAGUGAAUGAAAGGAGUGCUGGAAAGAGAACCACAUGCUCACAUCGAAGAACCUUCAAUCAUAUGAUUUUAGUGUGGAAAGCCAGAUGAUACAUUCUAACAUCUGUGAAAUCAAAUCAAAAUACAAAUUGGUUUUUGGCUUUCCUAA